rnacentral:rRNA from 1 species
GAGCGAGAAAGGGGCUUCGGCUCCGAGUAAAGCGGCGGACGGGUGAGUAAUACGUAGGUAAUCUUCCCUUGAGCGGGGGACAACGUUCCGAAAGGGACGCUAAUACCGCAUACGUUCUCCGGGACUCCGGUCUUGGAGAGGAAAGCUAGGUAGCAAUAUCUGGCACUCGAGGAGGAGCCUACGUCGCAUCAGCUAGUUGGUGGGGUAACGGCCUACCAAGGCGAAGACGCGUAGCCGGCCUGAGAGGGCGCACGGCCACACUGGAACUGAAACACGGUCCAGACUCCUACGGGAGGCAGCAGUGGGGAA